GUGAGGUCACUGCACAGGACCCAAGCAGAGCAGAACUGACUGUGCCCUGGGGUGCAAGGGGUCCAGCCCAGGCUGGAGACACGGCGCUCCGAGGAGCACGGUGCCGAGACACCAUUCCGAGUGCAGGAGCAGUGCACGUGAGAAUGGCUUCCUGCAGGAACACAUGAAAAGUUACCUAAAGAUACCCUGAUGACUUACUUCCAAUGCUGAAGUUGUUCUUCCUGCUGGCACUUUAGUCUGAAGCAUUUGCAACUUGGUACUUGUGUGCCUUCCCAUCACCACAGCAUUUGAGCUGCUGUCAGUAUUUAAUGUAUUUGUCCUCCUGCUCUGUGGGGCAGAGGUUGCCUCUCUCACCAUUUUGCACACAUGGAAGUGAAGCCAAGAGAGAACCAGAGCUUGUAUCUGCAAUUGAUCCAUACUGAUUUCAAUAUGAGCCACCCAUCUCAAACACUA